CCUACGGGUGGCAGCAGUGGGGAAUAUUGCACAAUGGGCGCAAGCCUGAUGCAGCCAUGCCGCGUGUGUGAAGAAGGCCUUCGGGUUGUAAAGCACUUUCAGCGGGGAGGAAGGCGUUAAGGUUAAUAACCUUGUCGAUUGACGUUACCCGCAGAAGAAGCACCGGCUAACUCCGUGCCAGCAGCCGCGGUAAUACGGAGGGUGCAAGCGUUAAUCGGAAUUACUGGGCGUAAAGCGCACGCAGGCGGUCUGUCAAGUCGGAUGUGAAAUCCCCGGGCUCAACCUGGGAACUGCAUUCGAAACUGGCAGGCUAGAGUCUUGUAGAGGGGGGUAGAAUUCCAGGUGUAGCGGUGAAAUGCGUAGAGAUCUGGAGGAGUACCGGUGGCGAAGGCGGCCCCCUGGACAAAGACUGACGCUCAGGUGCGAAAGCGUGGGGAGCAAACAGGAUUAGAUACCCGUGUAGUC
rnacentral:rRNA from 1 species